rnacentral:rRNA from 1 species
UGGCUACCACAUCCAAGGAUGGCAGCAGGCGCGCAAAUUACCCACUCCCAGCUUGGGGAGGUAGUGACGAAAAAUAACAAUGCGGGACUCUAAGAGGCCCCGUAAUUGGAAUGAGUACACCUUAAAUCGUUUAACGAGUAUCAAUUGGAGGGCAAGUCUGGUGCCAGCAGCCGCGGUAAUUCCAGCUCCAAUAGCGUAUAUUAAAGUUGCUGCAGUUAAAAAGCUCGUAGUUGGAUCUGGGGCUUGAGGUCGCUGUCUAUCGUUUCGGCGAUGACGGUGAUGCUCAGCUCUGCUUGCCGGUGACUGUUGCGGUGUUCUUCACUGAGCGCUGUAGCAGCACGGCACGUUUACUUUGAAAAAAUUAGAGUGCUCAAAGCGUGCUUGUCGCUUGAAUAAUGUUGCAUGGAAUAAUGGAAUAGGACCUCGGUUCUAUUUUGUUGGUUUUCGGAGCUUGAGGUAAUGAUUAAGAGGGACGAACGGGGGCAUUCGUAUUGCGGUGUUAGAGGUGAAAUUCUUGGAUCGCCGCAAGACGGACUACUGCGAAAGCAUUUGCCAAGAACGCUUUCAUUAAUUAAGAACGAAAGUCAGAGGUUCGAAGACGAUCAGACACCGUCCUAGUUCUGACCAUAAACGAUGCCGACCAGCGAUCCGUAGUGGUUGCUUUAUGGACCCUACGGGCAGCCUCCGGGAAACCAAAGUAUUUGGGUUCCGGGGGAAGUAUGGUUGCAAAGCUGAAACUUAAAGGAAUUGACGGAAGGGCACACCAGGAGUGGAGCCUGCGGCUUAAUUUGACCCAACACGGGAAAACUCACCCGGUCCGGACACCGUAAGGAUUGACAGACUGAUAGCUCUUUCUUGAUUCGGUGGAUGGUGGUGCAUGGCCGUUCUUAGUUGGUGGAGUGAUUUGUCUGGUUAAUUCCGAUAACGAACGAGACUCUAGCCUGCUAAGUAGUGUUGCUAUUGUUAUAUGGUUGACACUUCUUAGAGGGACAAGUGGCAUUUAGCCACGCGAAAUUGAGCAAUAACAGGUCUGUGAUGCCCUUAGAUGUCCGGGGCCGCACGCGCGCUACACUGGAGAAGUCAGCGUGUGUUAUCCAAGUCCGAAAGGACUGGGUAAUCCGUUGAACCUUCUUCGUGCUUGGGACUGUGGCUUGGAACUAUUCCACAUGAACGAGGAAUUCCUAGUAAUUGCAAGUCAUAAGCUUGCGUUGAUUUCGUCCCUGCCCUUUGUACACACCGCCCGUCGCUACUACCGAUUGAAUGGUUUAGCAAGGUCCUCGGAUCGUGGCCGUAGGGGCACGCAAGUGUUUCUGCGGUUUGCGAGAAGACGACCAAACUUGAUCAUUUAGAGGAAGUAAAAGUCGUAACAAGGUU